UACGUAGGAUGCAAGCGUUGUCCGGAUUUACUGGGCGUAAAGCGCGCGCAGGCGGCAAGGUAAGUAAGGUGUGAAAUAUCCCGGCUCAACCGGGAGGGUGCACUUUAGACUGCUUUGCUUGAGGUCGGUAGAGGGGGGUGGAAUUGCUGGUGUAGCGGUGAAAUGCGUAGAGAUCAGCAGGAACACCCGUGGCGAAGGCGGCCCCCUGGGCCAUUACUGACGCUGAGGAGCGAAAGCGUGGGGAGCGAACAGG
rnacentral:rRNA from 1 species